AUGAGGUGGGGGAGUGUUCCAGGCAGGGGAGCAGCAUGCAUAAAAGCAGAGGCUAGAGGGAGCACGCUUGAUGUGCACGCUGAAUGCAGAGAAGGAGGAGGGGAGUUCAGGAGGGGAGGCCAGAGAGACAAACCCAAUUCUUAACUGCCACAAAUGCCUUCAGGGACGAAAGAGAAAUCUGGCAGAAGAUCCAUCUUGGGCAUGGGAGUCCCAGAGCAUUCCUCCAGGACAUGACUGUGCAGAGGUUUGUCUGCUGACCUUGGAAGCCUUUGCUCAGGAAGUACAGGAACAGUGAGAGUGCAUUAUGCAGGCCAACUGGCACAGUCUGUCCAUGUGUUCACAAUAUGCCUUGAACAUUGUCCCUUUCUCUAUUUAAACCUAAUUGUAUGUCCCCCUGAGAACUAGUUUUGUUUAAAUUAUAGCUGACUGUUCUAGAUCUAUUAAAUAGUGAUAUUAUGUCU
rnacentral:lncRNA from 1 species